rnacentral:pre_miRNA from 1 species
AAAGUACUCCCUCCGUCCCAAAAUUCUUGUCUUAGAUUUGUCUAGAUACGGAUGUAUCAAGUCACAUUUUAGUAUUAGAUACAUCCAUAUCUAGACAAAUCUUAAGACAAGAAAUUUGGGACAGAGGGAGUAGUUG